rnacentral:rRNA from 3 species
UUGGAGGGCAAGUCUGGUGCCAGCAGCCGCGGUAAUUCCAGCUCCAAUAGCGUAUAUUAAAGUUGUUGCAGUUAAAAAGCUCGUAGUUGAAUUUCGGGGUUCAUCCGUUGGUCGGGCUUUUUUGGUCUGUACUGGCGUGAUGGAUUCCUACCUUCUGAAUAACCGGCAUGUCAUUAAUUUGGUGCGCCGGGGAAGCAGGACUGUUACCUUGAAAAAAUUAGAGUGCUUAAAGCAGGCUAUCGCCUGAAUACAUUAGCAUGGAAUAAUGAAAUAGGACGGCAUGGUUCUAUUUUGUUGGUUUCUAGGAUCACCGUAAUGAUUAAUAGGGAUAGUUGGGGGCAUUAGUAUUCAAUUGUCAGAGGUGAAAUUCUUGGAUUUAUUGAAGACUAACUUCUGCGAAAGCAUUUGCCAAGGAUGUUUUCAUUAAUCAAGAACGAAAGUUAGGGGAUCGAAGACGAUCAGAUACCGUCGUAGUCUUAACCAUAAACUAUGCCGACUAGGGAUCGGACGAUGUUAAUUUUUUAAUGACUCGUUCGGCGCCUUACGGGAAAC